ACAACUUCGUGUUUCAUUUAAAAAAAAAGAAGGAAAUUCGUGGGCUUCCGUUAAUAAUAGGAAUUAAGCCCAAGACCUGAGAAGCCAUUUUCCUUACUUUCACGCUGCAACUAGGGUUUGUGUUCUUCCGUCAAUGGCGUCUCGAGAGAUUGGAAUCUAGAUGACUGAAAUCGAGUUAUCAAUGGAAUUUCAUUGCGUCCUUUCGUAUUCGAAUCUUCAUGAGGAAUCCCCCCUGGUCGAGUUUCGUUUGGCGUCAUUUCAUAUGAAGUUAUUCUCCUCUGAAAUCGCCAUUAACAACCAUCUUUACUCCUUCGACCACAACAAACGUGAUUCAUUGCUUCUUAUCUCUCUGGAGGCGGUGGAUAACACCUAUAAAAGGUGAAAGGGCCUGAGCCAUAAUGAGACCAUCGUAUCUGACUCUGUCGGACUGUCCGACUCGGACAGAUCUUCGGAGCAUCUCACGGUUUCGGUGACUCUUGCUUGGCUCAACAAUUGUGGCAAUGAAGAUGGCGGUUCUUGCUUGGCUCAACGGAGGGGAUUGGACCCUGUGGUAUGAGCAGGAAUAGAUAAUACUAGCUUUGAUUUAUGAAGAUUCACUGGAAUAGAUAAUUCAACAUUUCGUUCACUUGGAAGAGAUACAGCUCCUUCGAUUUGUUUGUUUCCUCAAAUACCAGUGCCUCACCCAAUUAAUUCAGUCUCGCCGUUCACCGCCAAUUCAGUCUCGCCGUUCUCCGCAGACAGUGGUCACGCCUCUCUUUCGUUUAUGGAAGCAAGAGAUAUGAAGAAAGGAGAGCUAAUGGAGUUGACAACUUGACAUACUCUUGAAUGAUGAAAAGUCGACGCUCCUCCAGGGCACCACUUCAAACUUUCAGAUUCAACCGUCACCAUCGCAACUUUCGUACAUUAAAAAAUUGCUAAUUACGUCUUCAAAUAAGUUUUCUGUAUGUAAUAAUGCAACUUAUGGUUAGGUUCUUGAUGGUAAGCCAUACAACAUAAGUUGCGAUGCUUACAGCUUUGUGAUGUGCAUCAGUGCCUAUACCUUAUCGUGAUCUCAGUUUGGUUGAUGUUUCUUCUACCGUUGUCCGUCAAGUAAGUGACACUUAAUAUACAUCAGUAAUUUUGCAUUUGAAAAAAAAAAUCAAUAAAGGUGAUCAUGGUUUGUAUAUUUGGCUUUUAUGGGGAUUUAAAGAUUUUCGGAUGGUGAUUUUUGAUUUGAAGGUGGCUUUUCGGCAAUUAGAUCUAUGGCCCUCUUUGUCGAAAGUUAUACGCCCAAGUUUAUGAAGAAGAUGAAUUUACAUGUUCUUUCUUUUUGUGGUUGACUUUUAUCAAUUUAAUAUAUAAACUGAAACCAAGUCGUAAACCAUUUGUAAUUCGUUUUAGUUUCUUCUCUGAUUAAUUGAUGUCAUAUUGGAUUGUA